AUGCUUCCGCGGGCAUGGUUUCUGUUCCUCUUACCGCUCUUCCUCUUGUUUCUGCAUUAUUAUUGCUUCACUGCGAAUGGGAAGACGGGGAAAAGGCAGCAGCGAGAAAGCCGCCUCCCGCCUUCUCCACCGGCACUGCCCAUCAUCGGGCACCUGCACCUUGUUGGCUCUCUCCCGCACAUCUCGCUCCGUGCCCUUGCUGCAAGGCACAGCCGCGACGGCCUCAUGCUCCUCCGUCUCGGCGCCGUGCAGACGCUCAUCGUGUCGUCGCCGCGUGCCGCGGAGGCGGUGCUGCGCACGCACGACCACGUCUUUGCGUCACGGCCCCGCUCCAUGUUCCCCGACAUCAUCUUGUACGGCCCAUCUGACGUUGCCUUUGCGCCAUAUGGCGAGCACUGGCGGCAGGCGAAGAAGAUCCUCACGAACCAUGUGUUGAGUGUUAAAAAAGUGCAUUCUUCCCGCAACGCCGCCACAGAGGAGGUGACCUUGGUGAUGACCAAGAUUAAGGAGGUCGCCGCAAUAGGUGGUGUAGUGGACAUGAGUGAGCUUCUCAAGUCAUUCACAUAUGACAUGGCAUGUCGGAUCGUGUUGGGAAAGUCCUUUCAGACAGAAGGAUGGAGCAAGCUCCUUCGGGAACUCACUGACGAUACCUCACGAAUACUAGGAGGAUUCAACUUGGAGGAGUACUUUCCAACAUUGGCUAGGGUUGGAGUGCUUAAGAGGGUGGUUUGUGCAAAGGCUGAGAGAGUGAGGUGUAGAUGGGCAUAUUUGCUGGAUAAGUUGAUCGAUGAACGUGUGAGCAUGGACAAGUCAAUAUUUGAUAAAAAGGAUGGUGAUUUCAUAGAUAUUCUGUUGUCUGCUCAGCAUGAGUAUGGUCUCACAAGAGAGAGAGUGAAAGCUCUCCUGACAGAUGUAUUUUUCGGUUCAGCAGACACUGUAGCUAAUACUCUAGAUUUCACCUUGGCCGAGUUGAUGAGGAGGCCACGCCUAUUGGAGAAGCUACAAGCUGAGGUGAGGAGUAUCGUACCCCGGGGACAAGAAGCUAUAACCGAAACCGACAUGAACAAGAUGACAUACUUAAGAGCAGUCUUCAAGGAGUCACUUCGGAUGUAUCCUGUUGCGCCUCUCCUUGCUCCACACCUUGCCAUGGCUGAUUGCAACAUCGAUGGGUACAUGGUUCCUGCUGGGACACAUGUGCUUGUCAAUGUAUGGGCCAUUGGUAGAGAUUCCAGCUCUUGGCAGGAUGCAGAAGAGUUCAUACCUGAAAGAUUUAUAUAUGAAGAUAGCAAUGUGGAUGUCAAUUUCAAGGGGAAUGAUUUCAAAUUCUUGCCAUUUGGGUCAGGACGAAGGAUGUGCCCUGGUAUAAACCUCGGGAUCGCCAAUUUUGAGCUUAUGUUGGCAAACCUCAUGUACCAUUUUGAAUGGGAAUUGCCACCAAGGGUGGAGAGGAAAGACAUUGAUAUGACAGAGGUCUUUGGGCUAACCGUGCGCCGGAAGGAUAAGCUACUGUUAAUUCCAAAAUCAUUCAAGUAG
rnacentral:rRNA from 1 species